UCGGGAAUUUUGGGCAAUGGGGGGAACUCUGACCCAGCCAUGCCGCGUGCAGGAUGAAGGCGUUAUGCGUUGUAAACUGCUUUUAUAUAGGAAGAAAUAGUCCUUGCGAGGAAAGUUGACGGUACUAUAUGAAUAAGCACCGGCUAACUCCGUGCCAGCAGCCGCGGUAAUACGGAGGGUGCAAGCGUUGUCCGGAUUUAUUGGGUUUAAAGGGUGCGUAGGCGGUUUAUUAAGUCAGUGGUGAAAGACGGUCGCUCAACGAUUGCAGUGCCAUUGAUACUGGUAGACUUGAGUAUGAUUGAGGUAGCUGGAAUGGAUAGUGUAGCGGUGAAAUGCAUAGAUAUUAUCCAGAACACCAAUUGCGUAGGCAAGUUACUAAGUCAUAACUGACGCUGAGGCACGAAAGUGUGGGUAUCAAACAGGAUUAGAUACCC
rnacentral:rRNA from 1 species